rnacentral:rRNA from 1 species
CCGCGUGAGUGAAGAAGGCCUUCGGGUUGUAAAGCUCUUUCGCAAGGGAAGAAAAGAUACAAGUGAAUAGCUUGUGUUGUUGACGGUACCUUGACAAGAAGCACCGGCUAACUACGUGCCAGCAGCCGCGGUAAUACGUAGGGUGCAAGCGUUAAUCGGAAUUACUGGGCGUAAAGCGUGCGCAGGCUGUUUUGUAAGUCAGAUGUGAAAUCCCCGAGCUCAACUUGGGAACUGCGUUUGAAACUACAAGACUAGAAUAGGUCAGAGGGGGGUAGAAUUCCACGUGUAGCAGUGAAAUGCGUAGAGAUGUGGAGGAAUACCAAUGGCGAAGGCAGCCCCCUGGGAUCAUAUUGACGCUCAUGCACGAAAGCGUGGGGAGCGAACAGGAUUAGAUACCCUGGUAGUCCACGCCCUAAACGAUGUCAACUAGUUGUUGGUGGAGUAAAAUCCAUGAGUAACGUAGCUAACGCGUGAAGUUGACCGCCUGGGGAGUACGGUCGCAAGAUUA